UACGAAGGGUGCAAGCGUUACUCGGAAUUACUGGGCGUAAAGCGUGCGUAGGUGGUGAGUUAAGUCUGUCGUGAAAGCCCGGGCUCAACCUGGGAAUGGCGAUGGAUACUGGCUCGCUAGAGUGCGGUAGAGGAGAGUGGAAUUCCCGGUGUAGCAGUGAAAUGCGUAGAGAUCGGGAGGAACAUCAGUUGCGAAGGCGGCUCUCUGGACCAGCACUGACACUGAGGCACGAAAGCGUGGGAGCAAACAGG
rnacentral:rRNA from 1 species